rnacentral:lncRNA from 1 species
CUUAUGCAUAAUCCAGUAUGUUAUGAAGAAGGAUCAGAAGACUAUUGUGGCAUUUCCCAAACAAACUUUGGAUAUUCAACUCCACAAGAUAAUUGCCUUAAAACACAAUGCAGUUUUGAUCAAAUUCUUAGCCCUACCUGUAAAUGUGCUUAUCCGUACACAGGCGACUUAUUCUUCAGAGCUCCUUCCUUUUCUGACUUAACAAACACAAGCAUUUAUGAGUCACUUCAGAAGUCUAUGCUAUCUUCUUUUAGCCAAAAUCAGGUGCCAGUAGAUUCAGUUUCCUUGAGUAAUCCAAAAAAGAAUUCAGAGUACUACCUUGACACCUGCAAGUUUUUCCAUUUUGCCAAGAUCAUUUCAACCGUACAGGGAUUGCUACAAUUGGAUUUGCACUUAGCCACCAGACUUACAAACCCCCACCAAAUUUUGAACCAUUCUUUUUCUAACUUACUAGAUUAAGCACUAACUUCUUUUGAAUGACUUAAUUAAGUAGUUGACACUUGACAAUGACCCUUAAAUUUUGAUAUUCCUAAAAGAAGAAAAAAACUACUACUUUAAUUUCGAGAAAAAACUAGACUUUAUUUAAUUAUCUAAACCUAAUCAAGUUGUUAAUAUUCAUCUUAUUUAGGAUUAACACUCAAUAUGGUCAAUUAUUAUUAUGAGAAAUAUUCAAUAUUUGAUCGAUGCUUGUGAUGAAGUUUUUUUCCCAAUAAAUUGGUAUAGAGGGAGAAGAUUACUAUUCAGCUGCAAGUGAAAGUUUAAGUGACCAACUAGCUGAGCUACUAAGUAGGGAUGACCAGUGGCGAAUCUAUUUGUAAAAAAUAGGGCAUCGGAACCCGUGGUCUCUUCGUAAAACUAGAUAUUUUAUGUAUAUAUUUUCUAAAAUUUGUAUUUUAUUAUAUUCUUGCACCCGUGCUAUAAGAAGUCUAUCUGGUCCACUUUUUACCUUGAGGAUGAAGAAUCAAUUCUCACUUAAUACAUUUUUCUUGAUGCAUCCAUGUUCGGAUCAAUUUCCACUUAAUACAUUUUUCUGGGUGCACCCAUGUUUGAAAAAUCCUAGAUUCGCCUCUGGGAAUGACAAUUGGGUGAGGCGGGGCAGGUGAAGCCUUGCAUACACAUUUCAAGUUGAAAGAGUAAUAUCGUCUCUGAAAAAAUGAGUCAUGGUUAUUUUAGGAAUUUUCUAUAAACUCUUUUUUGUUAUUUUGAACUAUGAACUAUUUAUAUCUUUAGCUUUAAUUAUAUGUUCAGUAAAGGAUCUAUUAUAUAUAUGUAUAUAAACUACAAAAAUUUAGCAGGUUGAUAUGCUCAAGUUACCAGGGAAAAAGAAGGUUAAAAGUUUAGAUGCCAACAUGCCAAUGAAAUUUUUUAGAAAGAAACUAUAAUGUGAAUGAGAAAUAUAUUUUGAAGUACAUACUAGUGUAUCACUGUGACACAAUUUAUGAUUUAAAGGACAAAAAAGAAGGAUUCUAUCUAAAUAAGAAAAGUAGAAAAUAUUUCAAAGAAAAAAAAUACAAGGCAAGAUCAUAGGAAAAGAAGCUACAUAAAGCUGCACAACCCAUUUAUUGUUCUCUGAAAAUGUACUUUGACCUGCCCUGCCACAAUUGUCAUCCCUACUAGAGAAAAUGGUCUAAAACCCCCCCAAUCUAUACUCGAAAUCUCAACUACACACUCCAACUUUACGGGUGUCCUAUUACCCACCUGAACUUUAUAUUUCUCUAUUUUAUACACACCUAAGUGCUGACCUGUCAUGGGAGGUGUUCUCACCUCCUCUAGGCGCGUUAAAAGGUUAAUUUUGACGAAAAAUUCCUCCUUCUCCAAUGGUCAUCUUCCCCACUUUUAAAUAAACCAUUAUUUCUUUUUCCCCACCAUUAACCCUUGGUCCUUAUAUAAAAAAAUCACAAUUUCCUCUCAAAAUUUAGUAGGGUUUAGUUGUUAAUGUUCAUUUCUACUUCAAAUCUUGAAUUUAGGAUUUGUAAUAUGCUCUAAUUUCUUAUUUAGGUCUCUAAUUUUAAUUUUGAAUUUUCUCGAAAUUCAUCAAAAAUGGCAAGUGGAAACUUGAAUAAGCUUUGUAUGGAUGAAUCAAACCUAAUUGGAACGAUCUGAAUCACUCCCUCCGAAAGAUGAACAACGCGCCUAGAGGAGGUGAGAACACCUCCCAUGACAGGUCAGCACUUAGGUGUGUAUAAAAUAGAGAAAUAUAAAGUUCAGGUGGGUAAUAGGACAUCCGUAAAGUUGGAGUGUGUAGUUGGGAUUUCGGAUAUAGAUUGGGGGGGUUCUAGACCAUUUUCUCUCCCUACUACUAAGGUUGUUUUAUGUUAUCAAGUUGGCUAUUCAAAGUUCUAUUAUGCUUAAUAAAAUAUUGAAAGACAUUUUCAAUCGUUUUGUGUUGCCUCAUUUUUAAAACGGAAAAGGGCCAAAAACUUGUAAUCAUAUUUUAAACGGAAAAGGGCCAAAAAUAUCCUUGGAGUAUUUGAAAAGGUUUAAAUAUACCCCUCAUCCAUCUAUUUGGCUAGAAAUACCCCUCAAUCCACCUUUUUGGCCUAUUUUUACCCUUAAAGCUUAACAGAUUUUUUAAAAUUAUUAUUAUUAGUAGUAGUUAUUACAUGGCGUUUUUCUAUUGGAUAAAAUUUAAAUUUCCAACCCAUUGGAUUUUUUCCGAUCCAAACCCACAACCCAUGACCCAAAUCCAAUUAAACUUAAUAAUGAAUCAACUCCUAUAUCUCUCCCUUAACCACAUUAAUCUCUGCAAUGUACUACUGUAGUUAUGGGAGAAGAGUAUUGAGAAUGCAGAUGAAGUAAUCAUAAUUUUUACGGUUUGAUAUAAAGAAGUUUUCCUUUUUAAUUUGAAAUUAUUGGAAAUUUAUAAAUUGAAGUAACGAGGUGUUCUGCUUAAGCACAGGUUUUUGAAAAAUAGGCAGUAGUGAUUUCUCAAUUAUGUGCUUUAAAUGAUUAUUGAAGCAAUGCCAACCAGAUAAACAAGAAGAACACUAUUAUAAAUAUGAGAAGAAAAAAAAAAGAGUCCACAUUAUUCGUCGAUCAAUAAAUGAGAAAUCACGAAAUCAAUGUGAUUCUGUUUCUGGGAAGUUUCGAAUUUUUUCUUUUCAGAAAGAAAUAAUUUUUUGCAUUUCCUGAUUUCAUUUCAAAACAAUAAUUAAAGAAAUAACAUUUGACAAUAAAAAAUACUUUUAGAGAAAAUCUAAAUAUUGUAAAAAUGCAAGACCAAAUGCUCCAGUAAACUAAAAGUUCAGAAAAACUUUCGUUGUAGUAAUGAAUCUUUGGUGAAGAGCCAGGGAAGGAAGAGAUACGACGUACUUGAUUGAUUGUGAGGUUUAAUUGAAUUUGGGUCUGGAUCCGGGGCGGGUUGAAAAAAAAUUAAUGGGUUGGGAAUUUAAUUAUAUCCAAUAGGAAGAUGCCACGUAAUAAAUUAUAAUAAUUUAAAAAAAUUGUUAAGUUUUAAGGGUAAAAGUAGGCCAAAAAGGUGGAUUGAGGGGUAUUUUUAGUCAAAUAGAUGGAUGAAGGGUAUUUUUAAACCUUUUCAAAUACUUCAAGGGUAUUUUUUGCCCUUUUCCGUUUUUAAAAUAACACCAACAGUGGUAUCAAGAGCUUCAUUAAUCUUAAGGGAUUUGAGAAAUCUUCAAAAAAAACUACCAUACAUUUUUUAACCCGUAAGAGUUACCUUUUUAACCCAUCAGGGCUAUCCAUUUUAACUCAUUCAGAGUUACCUUUCAACUCGUGCUUUUCUCAACGCACAAGCUUUUCUAAACCAUUUUUAAUGAAAAUAAUGUCAAGCAAUAGUCUCUCUUUGAAUGCCCAAAAAAAUUCACUGGUGAAAACUAUCAAUUUGGUCAGUGAAAAUGAAAUCGUAUCUUGAACCCUAUGAUCUGUGGAAAGUUGUAAUGGAAGAUAUACCCGUACAACCUCUCCCUACAAAUCCUAUCCUUGCUCAAAUUAAAUCUCAUUCGAAUGAAAAAUCAAAAAUGUCAAAGCCAAAACUGUAAUUCAAAAUUCAGUUGCGUAUUUGAUUUUUUCUAAAAAUUCUUAUGACAACUCCAGAGAGAUUCGAAUCUAAAUUUCAUCUCGGGAAGAGUCUGAAGAUCUCUCUACUAUUUCUAUUGAAGAACGAAUAAGUGUUCUUCAAGCACAAGAGCAAAGAAGAGCCUUCAGGCAAGAUAAUGUUACUGAGGAUGCCUUUUAUGCACAAAAAGAGAAGAGAAAAAGGUAAUUACUCUUUGCAAAUACUGCAAAAGAAAAAUACACUUGGAAAAUUUUUGUUGGUGGAAACCUGAUGCAAAAUGUGGAAAUUGCAAACAAGCCGGUCGUGCUACAAAAGUAUGCAAGCUAAAAAACAAUUUUCAAGCACAAGUUGUAGAAGCAGAAAUCGAGGAGGAGCAACUUUUUUAAAUUGCAGUAUCUAAAACAAAGGAGGAGUGAUGAAUUUGUUUUUUAGUUAUUGCAUUCAUUUUUUAAAAUAAUAAGUUACCUUGUUUUUGGAUGAAUUUGAAUUUUAAAUAUUUGUUAAAAGUUAUUUUAAUUGUUGAGAUUAUGUUAUCAAGUUGACUGCAGCUUAAUAAAAUAUUGAGAAACAUUUUCGAUAGUGUUGUGCUGCCCUUUUUAAAAAAAAACGAGAGUAGGUGAAAUGAAGCAAUCCCUUAUUCAACUCCUUUACAAGUAAAUGCAUCAGAUAGCUGUCAUUGAUAGGCAGAACUUGAAAAGGGAUUUGAAGUUGAAGUUGUCUUGUCGAUUUUAAUUUCUGAAGUUGAUCACAUAUAUGGUAGUUUCUAUGGCAAUGAUGCUGCGAAUUUUCGUCAGUUUUCUGGUUGUUUUGAUCCAAGUUCUGUCAGUAGCAGCACGAACUAAUCCUGUUGAUUGUAAGUUGCUUUUGUUCUUCUCUAUCAAAUGUUUCUUAACCAGUGUACAGAGAUAUUUGAUUUAUCUGUGAGUACUGGUGUUCAAAUCUUAGUUCCUUUUUGUAAUCAUAUGAAGAACUUGUCUCUUAAUUGCAAUAAUCUUGAGGGAACAUUAAAUAUUUCCUGUUCUCUUCUAGAUAUGGUCAAUUAAGUGUUCUAGUGACGAACUGAUUCAAUAUUUUAUACAGCUGCUGCUUUAAAGUCUCUCAAGGAUUCUUGGUAUGGUCCUUCCAAUUGGACAGGAGAAGAUCCCUGUGGGAGUAGUUGGGAAGGAGUUGGAUGCAGAAAUUCACGAGUGAUUUCUAUGUAAGAAUUCGGUGUGUAUCCUUUUGUCAACUGCUUAAAAUUACAGAAAUCAUAUGGUUGAUGCCAUCUUUCUCAAUUUCAGAACACUGUCAAGUAUGGAUUUGAACGGUCAGCUAUCUGGAGACGUCCAAGGAUUAUCUGAAUUGGAGACUUUGUAGGUCUUCCUUUCACAUUUCGUGUUUCUACUUCACUCCCUUUUUUCUUUUGACGGAGCAAUACUUUGUCAGUUCUAAUUAUGGACUGCUCCUUAUAGGGAUCUAUCAUACAACAAAGAUUUGACCGGAUAUCUUUCUCAGUCUAUUGGAAAAUUGACAAAGUUAUCAAAUUUGUAAGUGAAUGUGAAUAAUCAUCACUCGAGUAUUCACUUACCAGCUAAUCUCGUGAUAAUAUGCUGAUGUUUUCUUGAUUUCAUGACAGGAUCCUUGUUGGUUGUGGAUUUUCUGGACCAAUACCAGACUCCAUAGGAUCUCUGACCCAGCUGUUUUUUCUGUAAGCAUUAUGUGGCACUCUUUGUACUUUGAAUGUGCGACCAGUACGUGACAUAUUUUACCAGAAUGCAAGGGUCAUACACUAUCUGCUUAAAAUUGUUAACGUAAUGUGUGCUUUUGGUGCUAGCUGUACUCAAAUUUUGGUCCAUCUCUGGGACAGGCAAUGCACUUCUAAACAGAGAAAUCAGUUCAUGAGGAGUUCAAUCCAUACUGCUAUUCUUGUGUUUUAUACGUUAUCAAAAGUUGAACUGUUGUGUUUACCAUAUCUAUCUGUAUAUGAUUUCUUUCAACCCUUCUUCUGGUAUAUGCUCUAAAACAGCCCCAUUCUGUAUUAUGCAGAUCUUUGAACUCUAACAAAUUUACUGGAGGAAUACCUGCUACCAUUGGCUAUCUGACAGAGCUUUAUUGGCUCGAUUUAUCUGACAAUCAGAUAGAAGGAAACAUUCCAGUCUCUAGUGGGAGCAACCCUGGUCUUGAUAUGCUUGUUAACACUAAACACUUGUACGCAUCUCCUUUUUCUUGAUGUUGUUUCGUCUCUCAACUGCAUUUUCUAAGAUUAUUUACAUUUCUUCAGUCACUUUGGGAAGAAUCAGCUAUCCGGUGAAAUUCCAGCUCGUCUUUUCCAUUCUAAAAUGACUCUGAUACAUCUGUAAGUUCCAUCGAAUUGGAGAAUGGAGUGAAUGAAUAAUUUUGUCCGUAAAUAUUGGGGACCUCACUUGUAGUUGAGCUUGCCUUUUGAUAUUCUUGUUAGUGCAUGUUUUUACUUCUGAGAGUAGUCAUGUGAAAGAAGCUUGAUAAUUAUAUCACAAACAACUUUCCUUUACGGUUUCCUCAUGCUUGUAUAUUCCAACUUGUAGGCUAGUUGAGAACAACAGGUUUACCGGGGUAAUCCCAGAUACAUUAGGAUUUGUCCAGACGAUGGAAGUGCUGUAAGUAUUGCUAUCUUGUGCUUUCCCUUUAUCAUCUAGUAAAGUUGCUUUCUGAAUUGUUUCUGGUAUUGCAAUAGUCGUCUUGACAGGAAUUCAUUCAGUGGAUCUGUUCCACAAAACCUCAACAAUCUCACACAUGUCAAUGAACUGUAAGUAGAAAAUGAAACAAUUUUCUGAACCUACUGUAGGUCCUCUUGAUUUUUUGAAGUAGUAUAUUUUGACCAUGUAUUACAGCGACAUAUCAAACAACAAUUUGAAUGGCCUUUUGCCGAAUCUCACUGGCAUGAAUGUCCUCAACUACUUGUAAGUUGCUUAUCCUAAGUUUUGUGUCUUUAUCCCUUUGAGUUGACAAUCCAUUAUUCUCAACAUAGUACUAUAAAUAUUUCUCCCCAAUCACGAUUCACGGGCACUUUUUUUUUGCAGGGACAUGAGUAGUAAUACAUUUAAUGCAUCAGAUAUUCCAUCAUGGAUCCUAAGCCUGCAAUCAUUAACAACAUUGUAUACUCUCUCUCUCUCUCUUUUUUACUAGAUUUGGGAACGUGCGUUGCACGUUUAUCCCAAAAUACUUAUAUAAAUUUUGUAUUGCAAAUGACAUAUUUUAUCCCCUUCAAAUCUUUGGUAUUUACAAAGAAAAAUCUAUCAUUGUUUCUAUAGGAACUACAUAUAUCUUCCUAAUUAAAAAAAAUAUACCUUUAACUAUAAAAUUGACUAAAAGUUAAUAAAGUAAAAAUAACUAACUAUUGCACAAAUUCAAUAUUCAAAUGAGGAUACUAAAACACCACAUGCUAGGCUAAUGUAUACAAAACAACAAACCAUGAUAAAUUCUCAAUAAUAACAACACAACAAUAGAAAGUUGUACAAUAACAACAAACAAGAAAAAUAAAUGUUAAACUAAACAAAUAAAAAGAGACAAGAGAAGAGAGCAUAGAGAUUUUCUCAUAUUUUUUUUCAAUUGGUUUAAGUGUGUAAAUUAUUGUGUCAAAUGUCAUUAUUUAUAGGAUAGCAUUGAGGAACACAAAGAGUUGUCAUAAAUAUGAUAUUAAUCCAUUUGAGAUUAUUGAUGAGAGUAAAAACAUAAUGAAUAUAAUUGGUGGGAAUUACAUACAUAUAAUGAAGAGUUAGUGGUAAUUUAUGUAUACUAAUAUGAUGAUUUACUAUUUACUACUAUUUAAUUUAUUAAACAAUUUAUAACAUUUAAAUAUAAUGUAGAAAUAAAACCGUUAUCUAAGGAUAAAAUAUGUAAAAGAAUUCAAAUAUAUUAAAUGUGUAGUGAAAAAUCAUUAUGACUAAUUAUUAAAAAAUUCAUAGUAACUAUGAUUAUGAAAAAUCAUUACUAUUACUACAUGGAAGAUGUAAAGAUGGUUGUUUUUUUCUUGCUAAUAAUAACUUACAAUUUAAUAAUGAGUAUUGAAUUGUAAGUCUAGCUGGAAAUAGGAGUGUUAACUACCAUAAUACGAACAAUCAAAAUUCAUUGAAUCCCAAAAUAAAUAUUAAAUGAAAAAAUAAUAUUUUAAAUAAAUUCAAGAAAAUAAAUUAAUAGUUAAAGGGUAUUUUCGUAAUUCAACUUUUGACUUAGAUUCUUCCCACUUUUAAUAUAACUAGUUCUCGACACGUGCGUUGCACGUGCAUCCCAUAUUAAGUAAUAUAAUUCAUAAUUAAAUUGGAGGUUAAUGAGCAACAAAUUAUAUGGAUAUGCUCCAUGUAUGAAAUUCAAAAGUCCAUGUUAUAUGGAUAUGCUCCAUGAAAUGAGGAAAAGAAGUUGCAUGUUAUCAGAAGUCCAAAAGUCCAGGUAAGAUGGAUAUACUCCAUGUAUGAAAUUAAUUAAAUGAAUUUAAUCAUUAAUAACUAACGAAAAUUAUAAUGCCAUAACUACAGAAUCAAAAUGCAAUUGCUAGACUUCUAAUUCAGUAAAUAAAAUAUGAUUAUUUCAUUAAAUUUACUGGUUAAUUAAAUAUUUAAUUAUAUUUUAAUUUAGUGUGGGGUAAAUUCGUAAUUCAACUUUUAAGUUAUGAGCUUCCCACUGUUAAUAUAAAAUAUAAAAUAAUAAUAUGAUUUAUUGGUUAAUUAUAUUUUAAUUUAGUGUGGGGGUAAAAUCGUAAUUCAACUUUUAAGUUAUGAGCUUCCACUUUUAGUAUUACUAGUAUCUGGACACGUGCCAUGUUAUUUUGUUCAAACUUAUUCAUUAAGAUGGAGGGAAUAUAUAAUAGUUAAAUAUAUUGGUUUUAAAAAAUGAAAGCUUAUACUUACUAAAAUAAAAAAAUUACAACACAUAUCAAUUCUCUCUUUACAUAUAAAGUAGAAACAACUGCUAAAAGUAUAACAAGAAUAUUUGAAUCCUAAAAUUAAAAUAUUACAUGUUGGAAUAAUAAUACAUAAACAUUGUGCAUUACAAUAAAUCUGUAUUGAACUUUGUUUAGUGAAGUUGAUGUUACUGGCUAAUCGAACUCUAGACGCCAAUAGCUUUAGAUACUUUCCAUUCUCUCAAAUUGUUGCUUUCUCUUCAAGAACAAAAAAGAAGAUGAAAUUAAUUAAUAAAUUAAAAUUAUGCAAGAGCCUAUAAAAAUGGUGAGAAAGAAUUCAAGAAUCCUUUCUUGCCUUUUAUAGCUAUUUUUUGAGUAAGAAUUCAAGAAUCCUUUCUUGUUUUUUUAUAGCUAUAUUUCAAUUUUCAUUCCUUGAACCUUUUCUUUCAUUAGUCUACAUUUAAUUAUUCAAUGCAACUCUUCCUAUUCUCCAAACUAUUUAGCAAUGAAUAACGCACACUUAAAUUUGAUUAAUGGGUAAAUCAUUAAGGGCUACAUUUAAAUUGGACUUUUGAAUAUCUACAGAUUCACAAAUCUCAUGUAAAUUUAAAUACAAUUACUACUAUUUCAAUUAGAUUAGGCAUUUUAUUUUAAUUAAAUAUAAGAGAAAAAUUGUAAUCUAACUUUAAACACUUGUUUUAUUUUUCUCCAUUUUUAUUCAUGUUUAGUACAUUCACCUCAGACUAAUAUUCUACUUUGAACAGAAAUAACACAAAGCAAUAAAUAUAUAGAGAUACAUAUUCCAAGCCAUAAUAAAUGUCAUUAUUUUUUAUUAUGGAUACAUUCACCUCAGUUCUCACUCCAUGAAUUUCCGUAACAUUUCAUUAAUUUGACUGGAAACAUAAUAAGUAUCAUUAUCUUUUAGUUGGAAUAUGAAUGUCAAAGAGUGCCCUCUCUUUUUUUGUGUGGAUAAUUUAGUGAUUUUAUAUUUAUGUAUAUUAAUUUUGAAGAGAUAAUACAUUUUUAUUAUUAUUUAUUUAGAUUAGAUGUUGUAUCUAUUACAUUUUAAUUAAGUAUAGGGGUAAAAUUGUAAUUUAACUUUGAAGAUAGGUGCUUCCCACUUUUAGUAAUUAGUAAAAAUUACUCCCUCUAUCCCUAAUUACUUGUUCACUUUUGAAUUGACACACCUAUUAAGAAAACAAUUAUUGACAUAGUGAGUGUACCAUUUUACCCCUAUUAUUAAUUAUAAAGUGGAUGGAUUAAAAAUUUAAGAUUUUCAAGAAAUUUUACCUUUUUCAAAGUAUUUAAUUGAGGGUAUAGUAGGUAAAAUUAUUUUGUCCUUUCUUGAUUUGUCAAAAUGAACAAGUAAUUAGGGAUAAUUAUAAAAGGAAAAGUGGACAAGUAGUUAGGGACAGAGGGAGUAGUAAAUUAGUAAUAUAUAUAAUAUAUAUAUAAUAUAAUAUAUGAUAUGAUGUGUGUGUGUAUGCACGACCAUGAGCAGGUGCAUGUGUGUAUGGGGCUCGUGUAUAUGCCUGCAUCCAUUUGAAUAUGGACUGAUUUUAUUUUUUCUUGUUUUUAUGGAUUCAAUUCCUAGAUGUUCUUUUUAACCGUUUGACUGACCUUGUAUUGUCAGGGUGUUGGAAGACACGGGACUUCAGGGAUCAGUUCCAGCUAACCUUUUCAGCCUACACCAGUUGCAGACAGUGCAAGUGUCCCUUUUACUUUGUGUCGUUUUUGUAUGAAGUAUAGAUUGAGUAUCUGAAGUUGAAUUUAUCUUUGCUGAAAUUUCCGAACUCUGUAUUAUGCUGAUAGUUGUUGACAAUGUGCUCGUUGCUUACAGCAUCUUGAGGAAUAACAAACUCAACGGCUCUCUUGAAACUGGAACCACAUAUAGCAACCAGUUGAAGCUCAUUGAUGUGCAAAAUAAUCUUAUCGAAUCAUUUACUCAAAGACCAGGGUAUCCCUUUCAGAUAAAGUACGCACUAUUCCAUGAUUCUUCAAGCCAUAAAAUCUCCAAGUUGAUAAGAAACACCAUACGCGAGACAGUUUUUUGCCUAGCUUGUUGUGUCGUGUGAUUAUUCUAUGCUCAACUUGACUAUAUACUCGUUUAUUUACUUUUUCCUAUGCAGGCUUGCAGGCAAUCCUAUCUGCAAUGAAAGAGGAGAAGGGAGAAAAACUUACUGUAUGGAAACUCAACAAACUGAGACAUACUCAACCCCACCAGAGAAUUGCUUGCCAACUGAGUGCAGCUCUAAUCAAGUUUCUAGUCCUACCUGUAAAUGUGCCUUUCCAUAUACAGGAAACCUAGUCUUCAGAGCUCCUUCCUUUUCAAACUUGGGAAAUAGAACUACUUAUGAGACUCUCCAAAAGUCUUUGUUGCUUUUCUUCCAAAAACGUCAACUGCCUGUGGAAUCAGUUUCCCUCCGUAACCCAAUAAGAGAUUUAAAUGACCACCUUGUAAUACAGCUGCAAGUUUUUCCAUCUAGCCAAGAUCGUUUCACUUGGACUGGUGUUUCUGGAAUAGCUUCUGUGCUUAGUAAUCAGACUUUCAAGACCCCAUCGUCAUUUGGACCUUUCUUCUUCAUUGGUGAAACCUAUAAAUACUUUGUCGGUAAUAGAACUAUUUCCUUUUCCUAUUUAUCACUCAUUUCUCAUCUCCUACAUAUAUGUGCAGCCUAAUCUAUAAUUACAGAAAGUUGGUGGCUGAAGAAACAAUAUAUAUUUGAAAUCUUGAUGAUUAAGUUUGUAUGUACUUUCGUUUGACAGAAGAAUUUACUGUAUUUUUAAGACUUUGAACGUGAAUAGCAACUAUUACAGAUCUACUGUUUUGAUAACUAUAUCAAUCCUUUCUGAAGUAUUCAAUUUAGAAGUACAAGACCCAAAAAAAAUUGUCUAGUCAUUGAAUUUGAGACAAAGAUACGAUAAAAAAACUAAAAAUUUAGGCUACGUGCAUGUGAUGGAUCAACUUUCGUUCAUUGUUACUAGUGAUUUUUCUGUUAGAGUUUGCAUAAACUUCAAUGGAUUUAUUAAUAACGUUUUAGUAUAGACGCAGGUUAUUCUGAUCGGUCUCCUUAGAAAAACUGGUUCAUUAAUUGACAGCUGAAAAUUCAAAUUAUUGUUUGGAACAUUAUGGAGCUACAUCUAAACGUUUCAUGUUACUGAAGUCUGAGGCUGUGCUUGCUGUUUUCUAGGGGAAUCCACAGGAUCAAAAAAAUCAGUUAGUACAGGCAUUAUUAUUGGAGCUACAGUUGGUGGUUCUGUCCUUGCAAUUUUAGCACUAAUCAUUGGUAUUUAUGCUUUCCGGCAAAAGAAAAGAGCUGAAGAUGCUGCAAAGAGGAGCGAUCCUUUUGGUAAGAGUUGGAACUAACUAUUAGGCCAUUUACCUAUUACUUCAUCUUACGGUUGUUGUUGCUAUCUUCCUUCUUAAUGCAGCAUCCUGGGACUCAAAUAAACAUAGUGGUGCUGUUCCACAGCUGACAGGAGCUAGAUUUUUCUCAUUUGACGAACUAAAAAAAUGGACUAAUAAUUUUUCAGAAACCAAUGUUAUUGGUUGUGGUGGUUAUGGAAAGGUCAGCUUUUAUGCUCUGAUACACUAAGCAUGUGUUCUGUUAGCAGUACUGCAGCCUUCAUUCGUUCUGAUCUUAAUCAUCUUAGACUUAGUAGUUAGUACUACCAGUUUCUUUGUCAAAGUGUCAGGCUAUUUACAGACGAUAAUGAACUGAUUGUAUAUUUGGAUGGAGAAGUCUUGAUUCUUCCACCCAAGAUAAUUCACAUAUUUUGGUUUCGGAUGUAAUACAAUAGCUCUAAUCUAUUUAAUUAAUAAGAUCCGGUAAGUAUGGAUAUUUUUUAUCUUGUUUGUACCAGCUUCUCUUUCCACUGAAAAGAAAAUUUCUCGACUACAAUUGAAACUGUAUUAAGUUUUUAAACUGUAGAAGUGUGGCUCUACAGGUUUACAGAGGAAGUCUUCUGAACAGAGAAUUGGUUGCAAUUAAAAGAGCUCUACAAGGGUCUAUGCAGGGCACACAUGAGUUCAAAACUGAGAUAGAGCUUCUCUCAAGGGUUCAUCACAAGAAUGUCGUUGGCCUUGCUGGCUUUUGUUUCGAUCAAGCUGAACAGAUGCUUGUGUACGAGUACAUUCCUAAUGGCACCUUAAAAGACGGUCUUUCAGGUAUAUGUUGAUCCCUUCUUGUUGAUUAAUUGAAACUAGCUCCUUUUAACUUAACCAAAAUGCAAAUGGAAUGAAAUUUGUACUUGUAGGUAAGACUGGGGUCAGGUUAGAUUGGAUGAGGAGAUUGAAGAUAGCCAUUGGAGCAGCCAGAGGUUUGCAGUAUUUGCAUGACCAUGUCAAUCCCCCCAUUGUACACAGGGACAUCAAGUCCAACAAUAUUUUGCUAGCUGAUCACCUAAACGCAAAAGUUGCUGAUUUUGGCCUGUCCAAGCUUCUAGGUGAAAGGGGUCAUAUUACCACUCAAGUCAAAGGAACAAUGGUAAGUAAAGAUUCUAUAAACACCUGCCUGAACUUGUUUCGUUUUAGAAUAAUGUAUGCUCCCUCAAAUUUCUGAUGUCCAGAAAGUUCAGAAAUUAAAUGUGUCGAUAAUUUCUAGUCCUGUAAUAACCAUUACAAGCACUAUUUCAUUGUCUAGUAAGAACACCUGAAGCUCCUCCUUUCUCAUCGACCACCCUUCCCUCCACUAAAAAUGAGUAAAUAAAUAAGUAGGAACAGGAAAAUACGAAAACGUUUUAUUUAUUUCUUGAUAUUCUCUCAAGGUAAGGGACUUGUAGGUAAUGAUGCUUAAAAACACCAAAUUUAAGGAGAAAUACUACCUUGAUUAGGAAACAAUGAGUUAUUGCCCAUAGCAGAUAGAAGCUUUUUAACGUUCAUAUAAUGUGAUCUUGCCAUGUAUGAAAGGAAACAAGUUGAGAUGUUGCAGAAAAAUGUGUCAGUAUUUACCUUAUAAUCUAUGUCCUUUUGAUGGUUGCCUUUUAUUUAUUAGGGAUACAUGGAUCCUGAAUAUUACAUGACAAACCAGUUGACAGAGAAGAGUGAUGUUUUUAGCUUUGGAGUGGUGCUGCUUGAGAUAGUCACAGGAAAAGUUCCUAUUGAUAAAGGAAGAUAUAUUGUCAAGGAAGUGAAGGAUGCAAUGGACAUGACAAAAGAUUUGUAUAACCUUCAUGAAAUUUUGGAUCCUGCAGUUUGUUCGGGUGCAACUCCUAGAAGCUUAGAGAAGUUUGUGGAUCUAGCACUCAAGUGUGUUGAAGAAAAAGGAGUCAAUAGACCUAAAAUGAGUGAAGUGGUGAAACAGAUUGAAUAUAUUAUGGAGAUCGAAGGCCUGAACCCCGAUGAUGAAUCUGCAUCUACUUCAGCAACCUAUGAAGGAGCAAACAAAGGCUUGAACCAUCCUUAUACUGAAAGUCUCUUUGUCUAUAGUGAAGCAUAAUUUUCUCAUCUUGUAUUUUUUCAAUUGGAUUACAAAAAAGCACAAAACAAAAGAAGAAAAGAAGGAAAAAUAGUCAGUAUAGGGUUGGUCGCUUGUACUUGAAUGAGAAGUAAAAUUGCCAUCAUUUUAGGGAGUUAAUAUUUCAUAUGGUCACUCAACUUUGAAUAAUUCACUUAGAAAGUCACUCAACUUUGAGUUGUUUAUUUAAAAAGUCACUCACCUUUGUUUUAUAAUUCAAAAGUCACUCAACUACUGAUGUUUUAUUUAGAAAGUCACCCAACUAUUUAUAUUUCACUUGAAAGUCAUUCAAUCAAUUUAAAUAAUUUUAUCAUAAAAUAUUUUUAAAGAAAUAAUAAGAUAUCUAUUUUAAUUAUCUUAUUGUUCCGCUUCAAUUAUUAUAAUUAUAAUUUUUCUAAAAACACGUAGAGUAGCGAUUGACCCCCCAAAAAAACUUUUCCGUUCCAGUAAUUGUAAAACUAGAAUUAAAUUGUUAAAAAAUAAUCAAGAAGAAAGGUUGGAAUUGAUAAUAAGUAAUUAAAAAAAAAGGGACAAUAACAAUCUUCUACUAUUUUUUUUUAAGAAAAGGUAAAAACAAAAACUAUAUAUCAACAAACUUCAAUAAAAUAAUUUAAAUAAGUAUCUUAUUUUAAUUUUUUAAAAAUAGUUUAAUUAUUUUUUAUAUUUUUACAAAUUUUAAUGAAAAAAUUAUUUAAAUUGAUUAAGUGACUUUCUAAGUGAAAUAUAAAUAGUUGGGUGACUUUCUAAGUGAAACAACAAUAGUUGAGUGACUUUUGAGUUAUAAAACAAAGUUAGAGGAAGGGCUUAAAAUAGUCCAUUAUCUUUGAGAUUAGACUCAAAAUAGUCCUAUUUCUUUUUUAGUGGAGCAUUAAUAGUCCUGAUUUUUAGCGGAGCAUUAAUGCUAAAACUAGAGCUGCUGAACCAUCUGCUUGAAAAACAACAAGUGAAAGUGAGCUACCUGGGUUGUUUUUCUUCUUGGCUAAGAAAACUGGACAAUGUGCCUUCCAAUGGCCUGACAUCUUGCAAUGAAAACACUUGCCCUUAGACUUUUUCACGCCCCCAGUUGGAGGUGCAAUUGCCUUAGCUUUGUGAGCCUUUUUCUUCUUCUGUCCACCUUGCGGUUUAGAAGUAGAAACUUUCUCAGUUAGUGCCAUGGAAGGUGCCUUUUUGACAAGUGUCUCUGCCGCCUGCAGCUCAUUCAACAAUUGUGCCAAAGAUAGACUCAUCUUAUUCAUAUUAUAAUUUAGGCAAAACUGUUGAAAACUGUCAGGCAGAGACUGCAAUAUCAUCUCAACUUGGGAGUCAUUGUCAAUUUCAGCCCCCAAGACCUCUAGUUCAUUCAGAAGACCUAUCAUAUUUAGAACAUGGUCUCUUACAGGAGUGCCUUCAACCAUCUUAGUGUUCAUGAGAGUUCUCAUGGCAGUCUGCUUAGCUGAUCGACCCUGGUCUCCAAACAUUUGUUUGAGAUUCUCCAGAAUUUCAAAAGCAGAUAACAUAGCUUGAUGUUGAUGUUGCAACACAUUUGACAUUGAAGCCAUAAUGUAACAUCGCGCCAUCUCAUCAACUUUGCGCCAUUUCUGAUAAGCUAGCUUAUCCUCAUCACUAGACUGUUCAUUUGGUUUCAAUGGACACUCUUCAUGAAGUACCAACUUAUAUUCUUCAGCAGUUAACACAAUGUCAAGAUUUCUCCUCCAGUCAACAUAGUUAGAACCCUCUAGUUUAUUCUGACCCAAAAUAGUACUAAUGGGAUUAAAAGGAGACAUGUUGAAUCUGAGAUUGAAGAAAAAGUUACAAUAGAUCAAUCUAAACAGUCAUAUAAUCAUUGAAUAUUUACAUUCAAACUCAUCAUAUACAUAUACAUUCAUGCAUCUUGAAUAGCCAAUCGAUGGGAUUGGAGAACUACUCAUACAAUAUAAAUAUAUAAUGACCGAUUAUUCACUCCAUAAACUUAUUUAGACCUAACUCAGAUGGAGAGUCUACUGUUAGUUUAAGUCAAGUGAAAAUCCUCUAGUUACAUUGAUCCAAUCAUAUAUUACUCAGUUUUAGGAGAGUUAAUAAAGAUUAUCAAACUAGCGAUUAAAUACGUAGUGACUUGUAUUAAAUUCAUCCGAUGGGGAGGAAGGUCUAAGCCAACACAUAAAUUUAAUACUUCAUUACUAUUUUAAUCUUGGUAAUUAAAGAAAGAAUCCUCAUCACCAUUUUAUUUCUUCAAAUUUUAUACAAAAAUUUCCAGAAAAUAAAGCGUAAACAUGACCAGUUCAAUUUGUUUAAAUAUACCAUACAAUGACAUAUAACAUAAACAAUAUUCCAGAGCAUCUUGUUCACUGCCGCCUUAACACAAAUAAUGCACACAACUUUUAACUAUUACUAUUCAAUCAAUUGAAAAGUUUUUAAUUUGCGUUAAUCAGAAAAGGAAAACAUGCAGGUCCACCAUGAAACAAAAUUUCAUAAAGAAGUUGAUACCUAUUCAUGUGAAUUACGGGCAUACAACCUUUUAAAAUAUACACGGUUAGAAAAAAAAUCCCACCGAGCCGCCGUCGUCAGAACUCUUGUGCUAUCACAAUAAUCUUUUAAAAUUAAUCAAUGCAGAUUGACCACAACUUUUACCAACGAAUUUACAUGUCUGAUUAUCGUAUGCACUCAUCAAAACAAACCAGUCUAGUUUCAUCAAUUCUGCCUUCAUCGUGAUAAAAUAAAAUUCACCAACCACGAUUCACGCAUACAAUUUCACAUACGCAUAUUUUAGGUUAUCUAUAAAGAUGCAAGUAUGGCUCAUGAUGCCAAUUGUUAGAAAAUAGCAUUCACAGCGGAAGCAUACCAGAAUCAUACAUCUUGCAUGAGUAUAGACAACAAUCACAAAUACGUAUCACAUACAAGGUAUGCUGAAAAUUAACUCAGGAUUACCUCUUGAAGCGUGUGCAGAUAUCUUGAAGCAAAUCCAACUCCAGCUCUACAGUCUUCUACAGUGAUCCCAAUUAACAAUUGAACUCUCUCAAUACUUGGGUGGGCAAGUAUCGUAUAGAAUACUGAAUUCUCUUUCUAGGUUAGAAGAAUCCCUACUUAUAGAGAUGUCUUCCCAGUCCAAAAAAGGAGAAGAAAGUAUAAAUCCUUAUUCUUCAAGAAAACCCCAAAACUCACGUUUCUUUCUUGGAGGAAAAUAUACACGUUACUUUUCCUUCUUCUACUAGAAAAUAGGAUUCUGAGUUCUAGUUAAAUUGGGCACUGGAGGGACCACAGAAUUUAUUACUGAGGCUUCCUAUUAUGGAAAUAAUUCCAAAUAAUUAAUUUGAAUUAUUCUUACCAUAAUAAAUUACAAAUCAUUCCACUAAAAAUUCGUAAUUGCACUCCUCUAUUUAUAUUUCGAAAUUCACCAUUAAACACUUAUGUAAUUCCCCAUGUUAAGAUUCCAGAUACUAAUCAAUAAAUUAAAUUACUGACGAAUUUAAUUCAAUGAUUAAUUUCCUUUAGAGCAACACUUAACUUAUUUCAUGUGCCAGAUUCAUAAAUCUACCGGCCGGGUUUACACAUGAAAACUUAUAAGUUUCUCAUAAAAAGGUGUAUCAUCAAUCUCUAUACUGAGACAUGGAUUCCAUCAACUAACUAAUUAUUUCACCAAUAUAUAUUAUUAUCAUCCAAUCUACCAGGCAUAUUGACCCAUCUCAGAAUCUCACCUUUUAAUAAAUCAAAACAAUAAUUAAUAUAUACAGAUCAUAAUCGUUAUAUCAAGAUUAAGAAUAUAAGUACAUUUAACAGUUUAGAGAAUAUGUUUUUAUCAGUCAGUCUAAAACAUCUAUCUCUGCUUGGUCCCGUUCAAUACAUACAAAAUGCACUAGCACGAGAAGUUAGAACUAUACCAUUCUCAUAAUCAAGAUAGAUUACAUUUAAUCUCGUGCUACAAUCUUUCUGAUGGUUUUGUCCAAAAUUUCCAUCUACGAUUGUGAACUAUAACUUUUAACUUAUAAGAACCGAUGAUUUAAUCUUCUGUGUAUAAGCUUAAACUCUAUACACCAAAUCAUCUACUAUAUAAGUUAAGGACACAUAUAUGACAAUUGAUCUAUUUAAUGUAACACUUUAUUGAAUUGAAUAAAUGAAUAAACAAUUGUUCAAUAAUAAUACUAUAUCAAAACGCAUGGUUAAUAGUAUAUCCUAACACCAUCCAAAUUCAUGGAAGUUUUUACAAUGGUUACAUUCGUUUCUUUCAUCCUAGCAACCGUACCGGGGAAUUCUAUCGCACUCCGUGCUUUUGAUCAUGCAGAAUCUACCAAAGGUUCAAGCCAGAUUGUAGGAAGUGGGUGAUACAUUUUUGUAUUUCUAUGAGAAGCUCAACGGAACCCACGAUUCCCAGUGGUAAGUUGUUCGGCAUAUCACGCGUAAACUCUAUUCGAUUAGAAUUUUUUUUAGAUUUAAAUAGAGAUAGUCCUAGAUCAAAAUAUUAGGAAUCAAAGCAAGGAAAGUAGCAUUGAUGGAAUGGGGGAUCACACCUUCAGCAAAGAAAUAAAGUGACCAGCUGGAAGUUUUUGAAAUCCCAACAAUAAUUUCUAUAUAAAAAGAAUUUGGAAAACCUGAUGGCUUUAAAAGAUAGGGGUUCAAUUGUUCCCUGACGCUCGGUUGACAUAACUUGAUCCUUAAUUUACUACUUCAAGAGUCAAAUAAUUUAUUUUACUACAGUUUUCUGAUUAUUUUUUAAAACAUUUUGAAUUAUUAGCUAUGUUAACUUGUAAUACUUUUCAUAUUAAUUUUAAAUAUGUAAAGUUUAUUGAAUCUAUACCCGAAAUCAUAAUCAAUAUGAAUGUCACUUAUUUUCCUACUAAGUCAUUUUCAUGUCACUUAUUUUCCUACUGAGUCAUUUUCAAAACCUUAUUUUUUUAGAAAAAAUAAUUUCUGAAAAUUUUGACCAAUAAACAUUAAUGAAAAAAAAAAAAAGAGAAUUUUAUUGAUAUCUUUUUCUCAAUAAAUUCUUUCCAAAAUAUCAAUAGCAUAUAUAUAUAUAUAUAUAUAUAAAAUUACUCUUAGAUAGGGCUACUUGCCAAAUUCCCUUUCUUUGGACAACCAAUAUGAGUAGUGAGUGAACCCACCUCAUUAAGACCAACAUAUCUACCUUAGUCAACACAAUGGACCCAGGCCCUUGCUUCGGAUGAUCAUAAAACAAUCAAUAUUAAAGUCACAAUAAAUGAUAGGAAACUUACAUAUUUGGCCGCUCACCCAAAAAUAAAAAUCCGCAUAUAAAAAUAUCUUAUAUAUAUUUUCUUUUCGUUCAUUUUUACUGAUUCAUGUUUGAAUUGAGAUACCAUUUAAGAAAAUUCUAUAUUCAAGAGAACUCGAGCCUAUGACCUCUGGUUAACAUUUAUACUUUAAAAAAAUAAAUUAGGAUGGACUAUUUUUUCAUCUUAGAAGAGACAAAAUCAUUCUAAGAGUACUGUACAAGUUAUUUAUAUGGGGUCCAAUUAAUGCAUGAUGUAAGUUGAAACAUAACCUUACAUAAAGGGAACUGUGUUUUUUAGCCCCUACAAGGGUGUCUCUGUUUUCGUGGACUUAGAAUGUUCACUACUUACUACAGUAGUAGUAUUUAGAAUGAUUAUGUUAUCACGUCGUUCGAUUGGAAACAAGGUAUUUUAUAAUUAUUAAUUCCAGAAUAAAUUAUUUCAUUAUUACGUAUAUGGAAUAAUUUAUCUUAUUACUAAGAUAUAAAUUGUGAGAUAAAUAAUCUCAGGACUGUCUAAUACCUCCAAUUAAACGCACAGUAAAAAGUAGGCCUACAUUUUAUUUCUAAAAUUAUUACAUAUCUUGUACCUUAUACCAAACACGACUGCUUAGAGAGAGAAGACUUGUAUACGUAGAGAGAUAUUAUCCUCUUGCUGUUUAGAGAACAGUUUAAUCCUCAAAACAAACCAAACACUUGUGGUUUCUCUUUCUUCCCAUUACUCUUCUUUUCUCUUUCUUUUUAGUACACAUAUUGGCCCCUAAGAAGAAACUAAGGUUGCAUGGUGGUGGAUUUAAACAAUGGUCCAAACAAGAACAAUCCAACUGAUCAUCUUUUGUCUGCUUAUUAUUUCUAUGCAAGUUUUGGUGCAGCUGGGAGCUUCAACAAAUUCUGGUGACUGUAAGUCCUACUUAUCACAUCUCUUUUGUUGUUUUUUUAACUGUAUAAUUAUGAAUUUAACUUAUAUACACCAUAUCGCGAAUAAAAAAUAAAGUUAUACUAGUACCUAGCACAGUUUAACAUGUUAUAUCGUAAGUUACUUAUUGUAAAUAGUUCUUGUUUUAGAUGAUCUGAGUUAUGAAAGCAAAUUGUUUUCAUUUCUUUUCUUUUUUUUUUAGUAGGGAAUAUAUUAGUGUCCACUAUUUUAACUCCAAUUUAUUUUGAUCCCUUUUUCGAGUUCAUUACUUAAAAGGUCAUUUCAAUUAUUGAACAUAGUUAUGUUUUUCGUUGUUUUGUAUCAGAAAAGUCAAAUAUGAUUUUCUUCAUCAAUUUCAUUCCGUAUGUUCUGAAUUUUUUUAAAAAUAAUUAGUGUAUGGUAUUUUUGUUCAAAAAUAAAAUGAUUGGUGCAGAUGUUGUGUUAGAGCCACUGAAGGAAGAGUGGGAAAACAUACCUCCAAGUUGGGAUGGGUCUGAUCCUUGUAACGAUCCAUGGGAAGGCAUCGACUGCAACAAUUCACGUGUUAUUUCUAUGUAAGCUUUUUUUUUUUGUGAUUAAAUUAAAAUUGUUAAAAGAGAAUCAUAUUAAUCGGAAAUAAUAACAAUAUUACCACUCUUUAAAUUAUUCCUAAAUUUAUGAAUAAAAUGUUGAAAUUAAGAAAUAAAAACACAAGUGCACUCUGUCAAAAAUUCCAUUUUUCCUUAGCUCGACAACGUCACAUGUUUAAUUCAAUGUUCACCCACCUCAUUUAUGCCAGCUAAAUAAUAUCUUCGAUUUUUAAAAAAUAAAAUAAAAUUUAAACACUAGAAUAAUUAAGGAACUAUUUCCAAAAAAACAGCAAAAUAUUUUUUUUCUUAAAAAAUCUUAAUUAGUAAGAAAGUACAAAAAUAUGUAACUGUUACUGUAUUUACUCUUCCAUUUUGGUCAGUUCAUGUGUAUAUAUAAUAAUAAAACUAAAAUGCUUAUUAUCUAAUGAAACUAGGUUAAAAUUAAAUCAUAUUAAUUUUGUUAAAUGACAUUGCUAAUUGUAAUUUGAGGUACUAAUUAAUGAUUGUGAAUUUCAGAAAAUUAUCAAGCAUUAAUCUGAAAGGGGAGCUAUCUGGAGAUAUCGAAGGCUUGUCUGAAUUGCAGAUAUUGUAUGUCUUCUACUCAUCAUAAUUGAAAGUGUUAAAAUUUGGAGAAAAAAAAUUGUCUUAAUUAUGUUCGCUCUGUUUCAAUUUAUUUGUCUGAUUUGAAUUUGACACAUAAUUAAUGAAAGUAAAUAAGAUUUUUGAAUCUUGUGUGGAAUAUGACCAUUUUUGUUUUUGUGCUCGCCAAAGUGUUCCUAAAGGAUUCAUUACAAAAAAUAAUAGUUUAAUGAUUUUAUUUGGUGCGAUAAAAUGAAAGUUGAGUGAUCAUCUGUGAAAUUAAUCCUGUUCUUGAAGCACCAUUUUGCUUGUGAUCAUGCAUUGCAUGCACACAAAUAUUUUUGACUGUUGAAAAAGUUUUAAAUUUCUGUUCUGAUUAUCUGUUUCCUUAAUAGGGAUCUAUCAUACAACAAAGGCUUGACAGGUUCACUCCCUCAAUCAAUUGGAAAUUUGAAGAGUUUAUCAAUUCUGUAAGGGUAUUAUUACAUGAUAAUGAUUAAAUGUUGUUAAAUUCACCAGCUGAUUUCAUUAGAGUAAUUGCUCCGAGCUGCCUCGCAGGAUCCUUGUUGGUUGUGGGUUUUCUGGACUGAUACCAAACACAAUCGGAUCCCUUAGCCAGCUGGAAUAUCUGUAAGGAUAUCAAUUUCUUCUGUUUGCAACUUUUUAUGCUUAACGAAUUCAAGAUAUUGAGUAUUUGAAGAACUUUUAGUCCUUUAUGUUUUGUAUAAAAUUGGAAAUUUGGCAUGAGAUGAGUUGGAUGGAGUAACUUGGUCAGUGAGGAUUUAUAUAGCCGACCCCAACUUGUUUGGGGACUAACGCUUAGUUAUUUUUGUUGUUGUAGUAAUUCUUGUAUCCCUUUACGUUGUCAAACUGUGAAGUCUUAGAGCUUCAGGUCUCUAGAUAUGGUAUACUAGAUUGAAAUAUUUUUCCUGUUUCUUCUACUGGGCUACAUUUCUAAAAUACUAUCUGAAUCAUGCAGAUCUUUGAAUUUAAACAACUUUAUCGGACCGAUACCAGCUUCUGUUGGUAAUUUAUCAAAGUUACAUUGGCUGGACUUAGCUGAUAAUAAGCUCAGUGGACCUCUUCCAGUUUCACCUGGUCUAGACAUGCUUGUUCACACAAAGCAUUUGUGAGUAAUACUGAUUACUGUCAGUUUCUUAAGUAACACCUUCGUCUCUCAUUUUCAUCUGAUAUACCACUUACCUCGCAGUCACCUGGGGGGAAAUCAGUUCUCAGGUGAGAUUCCAGAUCAGCUAUUCAGCUCAAAUAUGACUCUCAAACAUUUGUAAGUUCCACUGAACUGGAAGUGUAUAUAUUUUUGAGAAUUAUUUGAUGGAUCAACUUCAUUAUUGUCCCACUCCAACGCUAUGGUGCUAGCUCUGACACUUGUUGCAAACUACACCCGUUUGGCUAAUGGUUUCUUCUGUUUGGGUCUUGUAAUUGCACAGGCUGCUUGACCAAAACCAGCUUACUGGAAAAAUACCCCCUUCAUUAGGACUCGUGCAGACUCUGGAGGUGGUGUAAGUAUUUCCAAAAUCCAUCAUGCUCUUAAAGAAUUCUAAUAAGUGUCCAUCUUUCUUGCUUUUGAUUACCUGGUGAAGUUUUAUUAACUAGAUACCCAUGUCCACUGUAGUCGUCUUGACAGGAAUUCAUUAGACGGAUCGAUUCCAUCAACCCUCAAAAAUCUCGCACUUAUGAGUGAACUGUGAGUGGACAAGCAUUAUGCUAAUAUAAAAAAUCCUUUUUAUGAGUGUAUCAGACCAUCUAUAAAUUUUCCGUAUCACUUGCAGCUUCUUAUCAAACAAUAAAUUCACUGGCCCCCUGCCCAAUCUUGCUGGCAUGAAUGCCCUCUACUACUUGUAAGUUCCUUGAAACUCUUUUCUGCUAAGAAAAUGCAGCAAUCUUGAUAUUGUGAUAAUUACAGAUUAUGUCUUUCGGUUACUUUAAUUUGAUUUUGUUGCCUAUGGUCAUGUUUUGCAGAGAUAUGAGCAAUAAUACAUUCAGCUCAGCUGAUUUUCCGCAGUGGUUUUCAACUUUGCAGUCAUUGACGACUUUGUAUCUAUCUCUCUCUCGCUUUCUCUUUUUCUCUUAACAUGCAUGUGUGUAUCUGUCCCUGAGUUCACGUGCCUCAGCAGAACUCACAUGCGUCUGAGUGUAUAUGUUAUCCUAAUGAAGUGGUUCAUAGAAUUUGUUAUGCACCUCAUUUGUAUUUGUUCUGCUCAUAGGGUAAUGGAGAACACUCAACUUCAAGGAGAAAUUCCGCCAACCCUCUUCAGUCUUUUUCAGUUGCAGACUGUGUGAGUGUUCUUUUACUUUUAGUACAUGGUUCAUGUCAUGCAACUAUUCUCAUUUUCGCUGUGUGCUAGUCUUGUACAAAGUUUGAAAGGUAGUACAAAGUGACCUAGUAUAUAAUUCUAUGUUUUGCAUUUCGAUUUUACGACAAUGAGGUGGUUAUUUAUGACAGCAACUUGAGGGGAAACAAGAUCAAUGGAACCCUGAAUAUUGCAUCCAACUAUAGCAGUCAAUUAAAACUGAUUGAUUUGCAGAACAAUUCCAUCGAUGCAUAUACAGUAAGACCUGGAUUUCCUUUUCAAAUAAUGUAAGUCCUCAAGCCACUUUUUCUCCACUUUAGCAAUGAGAAAGAAAUAAUGGAUCAUUCAUGUUAGGACAUUUGAUUCGUCUGAAUACAAUUUAGUCGUUUAACAAUCUCAGUUUUCUACUUGGUCACUUGGCAGACUUAUGCAUAAUCCAGUUUGUUAUGAAGAAAGAUCAGAAGACUAUUGUGGCAUUUCCCAAACGAACUUUGUAUAUUCAACUCCACAAGAAAAUUGCCUUAAAACACAAUGCAGUUCUGAUCAAAUUCUUAGCCCUACCUGUAAAUGUGCUUAUCCGUACACAGGCGACUUAUUCUUCAGAGCUCCUUCCUUUUCUGACUUGACAAACACAAGCAUUUAUGAGUCACUUCAGAAGUCUAUGCUAUCUUCUUUUAGCCCAAAUCAGGUGCCAGUAGAUUCAGUUUCCUU